rnacentral:rRNA from 1 species
CAACACCUCAAGUGGUCAGGAUGAUUAUUGGGCCUAAAGCAUCCGUAGCCUGCUUUGUUAGUUUUCGGUUAAAUCCAUACGCUCAACGUAUGGGCUGCCGGGAAUACUGCAAAGCUAGGGAGUGGGAGAGGUAGACGGUACUCGGUAGGAAGGGGUAAAAUCCUUUGAUCUAUUGAUGACCACCUGCGGCGAAGGCGGUCUACCAGAACACGUCCGACGGUGAGGGAUGAAAGCUGGGGGAGCAAACCGGAUUAGAUACCCGAGUAGUCC